GAUGAACGCUAGCGGCAGGCUUAACACAUGCAAGUCGAGGGGUAUAGUUCUUCGGAAUUAGAGACCGGCGCACGGGUGCGUAACGCGUAUGCAAUCUACCUUUUACAGAGGGAUAGCCCAGAGAAAUUUGGAUUAAUACCUCAUAGUAUUAUGAAAUGGCAUCAUUUUAUAAUUAAAGUUCCAACGGUAAAGAUGAGCAUGCGUCCCAUUAGCUAGUUGGUGUGGUAACGGCACACCAAGGCUACGAUGGGUAGGGGUCCUGAGAGGGAGAUCCCCCACACUGGUACUGAGACACGGACCAGACACCUACGGGUGGCAG
rnacentral:rRNA from 1 species